GUCUACGUAGCUCAGCUGGAUAGAGCACACGCCUUCUAAGUGUGCGGUCAGGGGUUCGAAUCCCUUCGUGGACGCCA
rnacentral:tRNA from 1 species